rnacentral:rRNA from 1 species
UACGUAGGGUGCAAGCGUUGUCCGGAAUCAUUGGGCGUAAAGCGCGUGUAGGCGGUCCGGUAAGUCCGCUGUGAAAGUCGGGGGCUCAACCCUCGGAUGCCGGUGGAUACUGUCGGGCUUGAGUACGGAAGAGGCGAGUGGAAUUCCUGGUGUAGCGGUGAAAUGCGCAGAUAUCAGGAGGAACACCAAUAGCGAAGGCAGCUCGCUGGGACGGUACUGACGCUAAGGCGCGAAAGCGUGGGGAGCAAACAGG